UGGCAGCGGCCUUCCUCCCGGGGGUGAGAGCUCCACAGGGUUCCGCCCCGUCCUGGCGACGACGCCUGAGGGGACUCUGUGAUAAAGAAGUGCUCAGAGCAGUCAAGAAGAACAUGCCCCAAGUUAUUCGUCAGUGAAGCGGAAAUUGUGGUGUUCUUGUGUAAGUUCACAGUUUAUACUUUACCAUUAUACUGUGCUCCAAAAUAUCUGAUAUUUACUUUCAAAGCAUUUGUAGGAAGUUUACUAUGAUGAUGCAGAGACAUUGUACAGAAUCCAGUCCCUUGACUCUCAGGUCCCCAGAACACUCGCUUCACGAUUUUGUUGACCUCUUAUGUCAACUUAAACCUAGCACUCUCUUGGCUGGCUUUCUCUGCUCUUCGUGGGCACUCCAAAGCUUCUGU
rnacentral:antisense_RNA from 1 species